GUGGGGAAUCUUGCGCAAUGGGCGAAAGCCUGACGCAGCCAUGCCGCGUGAAUGAUGAAGGUCUUAGGAUUGUAAAAUUCUUUCACCGGGGACGAUAAUGACGGUACCCGGAGAAGAAGCUCCGGCUAACUUCGUGCCAGCAGCCGCGGUAAUACGAAGGGGGCUAGCGUUGCUCGGAAUUACUGGGCGUAAAGGGCGCGUAGGCGGACAGCUUAGUCAGAGGUGAAAGCCCAGGGCUCAACCUUGGAAUUGCCUUUGAUACUGGCUGUCUUGAGUUUGGGAGAGGUGGGUGGAACUCCGAGUGUAGAGGUGAAAUUCGUAGAUAUUCGGAAGAACACCAGUGGCGAAGGCGACACACUGGCUCAUUACUGACGCUGAGGCGCGAAAGCGUGGGGAGCAAACAGGAUUAGAUACCCUAGUAGUCC
rnacentral:rRNA from 1 species